GAGGGAGCAGUAAGGUUGAGUAGGGGGAAGAAUAGAGGAGAGCAAGAAAAUAGAUGCCAUAAUAGAGAGCCAUUAUAGGUUUAAAGAGAAAUCAGGCACUAGGGAAAUGUCCAGAGAUCUCCAAGUAGAUUUUUCUUUGGUUACACUCUAUCCAUAGUGUUCUACUGCCAAUCUCAUCUUUGUGUUACUUUUGUUUUUGUAUUUUUUCUUUCUUACAAAUAAGCAGAUGACAAGAGCCCAUCAGUUCAGCUAAUCCUGAUAUUACUCUGAAUCACUGAACAGCAAGUAGAAUGUAUAACCAAAGCUAUAUUGCUUAUUUAAUUUUUGUGUGACAAAGUUUUACUCUGUAGCCCAGGCUGGCCUAUAACUGACUAGUCUACUCUGGCUCAUAAUUUAUGGUACUUCUCCUCCUUAAAGAGCAAUGUACAGUUAUCACAAUAGCUUAUAAUGAGAAGUAUUAAUAAAUCAAUCAAAACCAUUUCAUAGGUCAGGAAAGAACCUAUUUGUGAUACAGUAGUUUUUUUGUUUUGUGACAACAGGGUGAUUUUGAGUGUUAAAGGGGGAUACUAUUAAGACAUUUUCUGCUGAAGAAUGCCUGGGCUAUUAUCCCCCAAACACCUUUUUUUUCCUGGUAUGUAUAAGGAGAAAUCAGGAAAUUCAGUCAUAAUAUUAAUGAGAUAACCCCAUUUCUAAAGUGAUGUCAAAUUUUAACAUUUUUAAUCUUUUUUUUUUUUUUUGGUUUUUCGAGACAGGGUUUCUCUGUGUAGCUUUGGAGCCUAUCCUGGCACUCGCUCUGGAGACCAGGCUGGCCUCGAACUCACAGAGAUCCGCCUGCCUCUGGUCCCCGAGUGCUGGGAUUAAAGGUGUGUGCCACCAACGCCCGGCCAUAUUUAAUCUUUUAAAAGCAAAAAAGAAAUGAACAAAAAUUUUCACCAACUGACUAGAUUGCAUCAUCAUCUGAGGAUGCUGGAAUAGAAUUUCUGAGGGUUAACUCACAAUUAGGGCACUUGAAUACUACCACAGCCUUACAUGAGUAAUAAAAACCCAGAGGAUCACUAACUAAGAAGAUGCUCUACUUGCAUGGCUACAGCCCAAUCUUACUGAAUCCCAAUUCUUAAUUGGGAUUUUCUCCUUCCACAUGACUGUAGCUUGUGUCAAGUUGACAUAAAACUAGUUAUCAUACUUCCUAUAAAAUAUAUUUACUGAAAAGCAAUUUUGAAUAUUGAAAUAUUUAUUAUUGAAUGGUACAGAGCCAUGAAGUCUGGUCUGUUUCAGUUAUUCAUAUGCUUGAGUGAAGCAAAGGUACGGUAUGGUUUGGCUGAAGAAAGAAGCAACAUGUGGUUAUCACUGCUUUAGAGUAGUAUUGAUCAAUUUCUCUCUCUCUCUCUCUCUCUCUCUCUCUCUCUCUCUGUGUGUGUGUGUACAUGUGCAUGUGUAGUAGAGUGAAAGGGAGCAGAUCUAGCUUGUUUGUUCUCUCAAGUAAUUUAUAGCAUGCCCAAAAUGUAGAAAAAUUUCUGCAAGGUAAGUCUCUACCAAUGGUCUUCUGACAUCUCUUUUUUGGUUCUUUGUGACUGAUAUCUAUCUUUCUUCUUCACAAAGGAAAUGGGGGAAAGAAAAGGAAAGAGAGUUGAAAGCAAUAGCCAUUCUUCUAGUUAUUCUGGACCUCUCCUUUUUAAUUAGUGCAUAUUUAUAGUAAAAAAUAUUAGAUUUUAUUAGGACAUUGUCUUGCCUUUUUACAAUGUAGCACAAUCAUAUUAACUUUCUUUUCACACUCCCUUGUCCCCCUUUUCACUCCCACAGUUUUUCCAAGGGAGCCCCUUGAUGCAUUUCUUCAGCAAUGCCCAUUUGGUUAAAUCUUACUGAGAUACCAUGCUCCAGGUCUUAGACAUGCUUGCAUCACUCUGGAUCCAGCAGUACUGUCCAAUAUCACUCACAAGUGCUCCGGCCAUCUCAGUUCUUUUAAGAGCCAGCCCACCCUUGUCAUAACCCAGAAAACAAACUGUGGUGAAACAAACUAAGACCUUUUGAACAACAACCCGCUUUAGUCAGACAUCAUGGCUGUGUAUCUUUAAAUAACUCCCUAUUUAUUAUUUUUAAUCUUUGUGACCUUAGUUUCUUUAUCAAUGAAAUAUCAAGGGUCUGAGGUAUAUUGUUUUACAAAUCCUUUGGCAUCUAAAAAUGCAUAUUUGAGCUACAUUCCCACUAACAGCAGGAAAUUUAUCCUCCUUUCUUAGCAGUGUAUCGUGUAUCCUAGGACCUUCAACGUAGAACAAUUAAAGCUCUGAACAGCGUUAAGAGCAUUUAGCUUGAGAUCAAGCCAGUCUUUCAUUGGGUUGUGUGAUUUCUGACAAGCCAUCAAGUCAGUAAAUUCAUUUACCUGUGAUAAAACACACUUGAAGUUGUUUUACACCAAGAUGAGAAGAAAUCUCCUAGUUAGUUUUUUCUAUGUUUGCCUUUUACCUUGUCCAAAGAAAUCUCCAAAGGAGAUUUACAAGUAUGAUACAUCCAUUAUUCACUGAUGGUAUGAAAUAUUUAAAGAUGGAAGCUCUGUCCUUCUGCUUUCUAAUUGUUUUCUCAGUGUCUUUCUGUGAUGCAUUUUGGGGGUUUGCAUUCAGCUUAUGAAGUCUAGUAUGACUGUGUUUCCAGUGGAUUGAUACUUUGCUGUGAGCUGUGGUUGUCUUGGAACUUCACAGUAAUCGAAUUUGAAGACACUGAUGUGCAUUCUCAAGUAAGAGCCUGGCUCAGGGGGGUUUCAUCUAGGUCAGACCUUAUAAAUGAAGUGAUGAUUUUCCCCCUUAAGUCUGUAGAUUUAUCUGAGGCCCUAUGUUGCCUUUUUACUUCUGCAGCUCAGUCAACCUAUGAGCCAGUCAGCAUCUUAUUCACUUUAAAGCUAAUGUUUUGUAGUAGUUGGCAACCCAUUUAUUAAAGGCAGAAGGUGAGAACACAGGAUAAUUUGAGAACAAUUUCUGAGAUCACUGAAAAACCAGAAAAAUGAUCUUUAACUGCACAUCUCAGGAAUUGUGCAGCAAUGUAUGUUUUCUAGAAUUUCCUUUUAUAAAAAUUUAACACACAAUUUUCCAAAGGUCUUAAGUCAAAAGUAGCCUCAAAAUAGCAAAAUGUUUCCUUUCACUAGACUUUAUUCAUCUAUCAUACUAAAUUGCUUAUGAAGUAACUAUUGUGUGUUAUACAAAAGGAAUACACACUGUAGUGGUGCACAGACUUGGAAUUGCAUACAGAUAUACGUGUAUCAGCAUUCUAACUUGUAACAAUCUAGGUGAAGUAUAACACAUAAGAGAUGUCAUCUUUAAUUCUGAUAAUUACUUGUUUUGCACAAAGAAUUGGCAAAAACAGACCACAUAUUGAAAACACACUAUAAAAUAAAUGAUAGCUUGUGAGAAUUUAUUAUCUUUAUGUAUACCUCAUACAGUAUUAGCAAGAUUUUGAGAACUCCAAAAGAUAAUAUAGAUGAAAAUUGAUUCAAUAGGUGUUUGUAUAUGCCAGUCUUUUUUCCAUGGUAAAAAUGAUUCUAAAAAUAAUUAGAUUGACAUAAUUAAAAGGGGCUUUUAAGACUAUCCCCAUAGAAACAGCUGACCUGAACAAGGGAGAGCUCUUGGUCCCCAGACUGAUAGCUGGGAAACUAGCAUUGGACUGAUCCAGACCCCAUGAAUGUGGGUGUCAGUGAGGAGACCUCAGAAAUCUAUGGAGCCCAUUGUAAUAGAUCAAUACUUAUCCCUAGCAUAGGAAAGGACUUAGGGAGCCCAUCCCAUAUUGAAGGAUACUCCCUGAGCCUAGAAACACUGGGGUGGACUUAGGCCAGCCCUAUUCCAAAGGAUAUGACAGUCUCUCUGAUGACCCCUAUGGAAGUCCUCACCCUCCCUGUGGAACCGAAAGGGUAUGGGAUAGGUAGGGUGUUAGCUGAGGGGGGCAGGGGAGGAGAGGAGGGAGAGGGAACUGGGAUUGACAUGUAAAACAAUAUUGUUUCUAAUUCAAAUAAAAAAUGGAGGGAAAAAACACUAUAGGACAGUGUCUGUAUUAUUAAUCCCUGUUUCCUGAAACAAGUACUUGGUAAGAACUUGUAGAAAAGUGUAAACUUGUAUGGAAUAACAAAGAGUGAAAAUGACAAAAGGAGUCAUUACAGACACAAAACAUCUAGGAUGCUGUAGAUAGAGAUCAUGCCUCAAGUGGGAUGAUGGUUCAGUUGAUUUUUAUGAAAAAAAUGGAAAACCAUAAGAGGAAUAGAGAUCAUUUAAGUACAAAGUGAACUUUACUGAGAAACACAGUGAUAUCCGCCAGACUCCCAAUCAAUUAUUAUCCCAUAGAUAAGCAUUUUUGGUGGAAUCAUAGACACUCGAAGGAAAGUACAGCAUGACAGGGGCUCUAGUCUUAUCCUGAUUUAUAUUAAAAAAAAAUAACUGAGGAAAGAUCUGAAAGGACCAGGCCAAUGGAAGGAGCUUUCCAAAGAAAGAGAGCUAACUUGAGUCGUGAAGUCCCACAUUGGCAACCGUGGACUCAACAGAGCUACAUUAACCUACACAGUAUAAAGAAGAGUCGUAGUUGUCAACCAGCAAAUUAAUGGACUGACUGACUGCUCAGUGUCAUCAUUCCUGUUAUUUUUUUUUAAUGAUUACACUUUAUUUAUUUUGGUAUGUGUGUGGAAAGAGCUCUAGGGUGGAGGUGGGAGAACAGCUAACAGGAGCGGAUUCUCUCCUCCUACCAAGUGGGUCCUGGAAAGGGAAUUUGGACAUCAGAUUGGCAGUAAGAACAUCUACCUUCUGAACUGCUGACCCCUCCAUUCCUGUUUGGAAAUGUUGCAAGGUUAUUGAUGCUGAUGGGACCCAGAGUUUUUGGUGUUAAAAAAGAGCCUUAGAUUUGUUUCUUAGUUGUUGCUUUGCUAUGUGAAGACAUUAACUACUGUGAAGAACUGUUAUUUGGAGACAGGUUCUACAUGAAUAUAGGUGGGUAGGAGGGAGUUUAGAGUCAGGGAUUCAUUUUGCAGCCCAGGCUAGGCUUGAACUUGCAACAAUCUCCUGCUGAGACUUUCCUGAGUGGUAUUUGAUUAUAGGCUAUAUACUUCAUGACAUCUUGAUGUUACUUAAAAUAUUCACUACAAUGUAAAGUCUAUAUAAAUAGUUGUUCAUCAUGGACUUUAAUUUGUGUUUGCUUUUCAAGCUGCUAGGAUUGAACUCCGAAUUUUGUAUUUGCUAGACAAGUCCUAUAUCACUGAGCCACAGCAUAAUCCAAGUAUCCUUUAAUGCAGUUUUCAGUCAGUCAAAAAUGAGCAAGGAGUCCUUAGGGACGUCCAAUAAGGGAUUGGAGAAAGUCAGAUGAAUGUUGAGAUAGUUUAUAGUAGAAUGUUAAAGACUUAUAUAAAAAAGAAACAGGAUAGGGUGGAGAGUUUGCUCCAGUUCUCUGGCUGCAUUUCCAGUGUUUGACUUCCAUUUCCCACAUGACCCACAUGGUUGCUCACAACCAAAUAAAUAUAACCCCAGGGGAUCUAAUUGUGGCUUCUGGCCUCUGUGAGCAUUUCACAUCAAAAUAAAUAAUAAAUAGGAUUAAAAUCCCUAAACCUAAACAACAACCCCCCCCGACACACACACACAUACACAAUCAAGGAAUCAGUAUGAUGGCUCAGUAGUUAAAUAUGCUUCUUCCCACCCUGUAGACCUGAGUUACAUCCCUGGGAUCUACAUAGUGGAAGAAGAAAAUUCACUCCUGAAGGUUGUCCUCAGACAUACAUAUAUGUGUGACUCCCUAAAAAGUAAACAUAAAAAGUAUUAAUUAAAAAACAAAUAAUUAUUUGUGUUAAUAUAGAAACAAAGCAGAUUGAUACUAGCCGCACUGUGUACUGAGAUGAAUUUUCCUAGGCCUGGGAUACCUACAAAUGUUAAGAAUAUGUAGUAGAGUCUUAUAGGAGUGGUGGUUAGUAUUCUGUGAAAACUGUCUGACUUAUGGUUGUACUAGUCUUGAAUGAAGUUAUGCCAUCAUUGACGGCUGCACUGAUUUGGGGAUAAUAAAGCAUGACACUGACAGGUUACCACUGCAAGAUGGACUUGUCUUCAUUCCUGAGAGAUAUAUUACCAGGGGAAAACCAUGAAUAUCAGUAAGAUUCUGCAUUUCUAUGGACUGGACUCAGAGCAAUCUUGAAUAUGAUUUGUUUCUCUUGUCUGUCUAAAGCCAAGCAAACCCAAAUUUCUACUGUCAGGCACUUUUUUUCUCUUAAUUACAAGUGGUUAUAUGAAAGUUAAUUUGUGUGGGUUUAAUUUAUUUACAUAUAUUUACAUUUGACUCAUUAAAAUAUUCCUUCCAAGAGUUGUCUGCAACUGUUUGAGCAUGUUAAAUCUUGUUGAACAAAAUGAAAACAUUCCUUUUGCCAAUUGAGAAUAAAUUUAGAAAACCCAAACUUUGGGUUUUAACUUAGUAAUUUCUGAACAACAAAAACUAUUUUAUGCUGUCCAACAGUACACAACCAUCAAAUUGAAACAGAACUCCAAAGUAGACCAUCUGUCUUCUCUCAUGUUUGAGCCAUCUUGUCUGUGCCCAAAGCAGAUUUUGGGUAAUUACUAAAUUCAAGGUGAAAACUCCAGUACUUCAAAAUCACACAGGACGAAGAUUUAUGAAAAGAUCUUCAAUGUCGGAAAAUUUAUGAAGAAGAAAAAGAGAAAGGAAAGCAAAAAAGAAGAGAGUGGACUUAUGGGUAGAGAAGCAAACACGUUUUCCGUGAUUUUUAAGGCCUCUGAUGCCAAUGAUAACAGCAGUGUGAAGUGGAAUAUGAGUAAUAGCCAGAAAAAGACAUGGGAAGAAGCUCUGCUGUAACUUUUCAGUCUUUUUGACAAGAGUUACUACUUAAAAUCCAAAGAAAGAAAUUAAAGAAGAAACCAGAAAAUGGAAGGAUCUCCCAUGUUCUUGGAUAGGUAGGAUCAAUAUAGUAAAAAUGGCAAUCUUGCCAAAAGCAAUCUACAGAUUCAAUGCA